CAGUCGCCGCGGUAAUACGUAGGUGGCAAGCGUUGUCCGGAAUUAUUGGGCGUAAAGGGCUCGCAGGCGGUUUCUUAAGUCUGAUGUGAAAGCCCCCGGCUCAACCGGGGAGGGUCAUUGGAAACUGGGAAACUUUAGUGCAGAAGAGGAGAGUGGAAUUCCACGUGUAGCGGUGAAAUGCGUAGAGAUGUGGAGGAACACCAGUGGCGAAGGCGACUCUCUGGUCUGUAACUGACGCUGAGGAGCGAAAGCGUGGGGAGCGAACAGGAUUAGAUACCCGUGUAGUCCCUGUCUCUUAUAC
rnacentral:rRNA from 1 species